rnacentral:rRNA from 1 species
UACGUAGGGUCCGAGCGUUGUCCGGAAUUACUGGGCGUAAAGAGCUCGUAGGUGGUUUGUCGCGUUGUUCGUGAAAACUCACAGCUUAACUGUGGGCGUGCGGGCGAUACGGGCAGACUGGAGUACUGCAGGGGAGACUGGAAUUCCUGGUGUAGCGGUGGAAUGCGCAGAUAUCAGGAGGAACACCGGUGGCGAAGGCGGGUCUCUGGGCAACAACUGACGCUGAGGAGCGAAAGCGUGGGGAGCAAACAGG